GAACCGUCCAAACGUUAUUCGGAAUCACUGGGCUUAAAGGGUGCGUAGGCGGCCCGGAAAGUUGGGUGUGAAAGCCCUCGGCUCAACCGAGGAACUGCGCCCAAAACUAUCGAGCUAGAGGGAGAUAUAGGUGAGCGGAACUUAGGGUGGAGCGGUGAAAUGCGUUGAGAUCCUAAGGAACACCAGUAGCGAAAGCGGCUCACUGGGUCUCCUCUGACGCUGAGUGCACGAAAGCUAGGGGAGCGAAGAGGAUUAGAUACCCUCGUAGUCCUAGCCGUAAACGAUGAGCACUGGUUUGGAGGGUCCCUCCAUAGCCUUCCAGACGUAGCGAAAGUGUUAAGUGCUCCGCCUGGGGGAGUAUGGUCGCAAGGCUG
rnacentral:rRNA from 1 species